UUGCAGCUAGGUAAGCUGACCUUCCUUUUUUCCCCAUGGGGGCCCAGUGUGCAAUAGCCACAAACAGCAGCCUCCUUGGCGGUGUAUGCAGCCUGUGGCCUGCAUGGGCUGCCCUAAGGGGCCUUGGAGACAGCC
ensembl:snoRNA SNORA70 Small nucleolar RNA SNORA70